GGGGAACGCUGUCCCGCCACAGAUGCUGAGCUCAGCGUUUCGCUCAGAUGAGAAGACCAAAGGGAAGUAUCCAAAGCAACCCUGAAUGGGAACCAGAUCCCACAGUCCGCUGGCUUACACUGGCCCUCUCUCCCUUCACCUCAUCGCCUCUUCAGAGAGGCCUUCCCUGGUGGCCCCAUCUCUUCUUCUCCUCUGUUGUUUCCUUUCAAGGCACUCAGUCAGUAUGGAAUUAUACAGGUCAGAAUCCAAUUAUUCAGCAAAAAGCAGCAUGAGAUCACCUUCUAACAUCUCUCCAGCUCCUUUGGG